rnacentral:misc_RNA from 1 species
UUUCCGUAGGUGAACCUGCGGAAGGAUCAUUAUUGAAUACGAUUGGUACUGAUGCUGGCUCUUCACUGGGCAUGUGCUCGUCCAUCUUAUUUAUCUUCUCUUGUGCACAUUUUGUAGUCUUGAAGACCUCUGCGCAAAUUCAUUUUGCUGCAGGUUGGGAGAUGCUAACCCUUCUCGCGUUGCCUUUGUGCAAGCCUUGUGGAAUGUUAACCCUUUCCUCGCGUCUUCAAGACUAGGAUUUCAUAUACACUAUAAAGUUACAGAAUGUCUUUUAACGACUUCUUGCAGUCAUUAAACCUAUACAACUUUCAGCACCGGAUCUCUUGGCUCUCCUAUCGAUGAAGAACGCAGC